UACGAAGGGGGCUAGCGUUGCUCGGAAUCACUGGGCGUAAAGCGCACGUAGGCGGAUUGUUAAGUCAGGGGUGAAAUCCUGGAGCUCAACUCCAGAACUGCCUUUGAUACUGGCGAUCUCGAGUCCGGGAGAGGUGAGUGGAACUGGCGAGUGUAGAGGUGAAAUUCGUAGAUAUUCGGCAAGAACACCAGUGGCGAAGGCGGCUCACUGG
rnacentral:rRNA from 1 species